ACAUAAAACGAUCCUGUCCUGUAUUGAUACAAACUGUGCCUGACUGAUGCCACAAAUGCAACCAGCGCUGGCGGGGCUGCUGCCUUCCCUUCAAUGAUUUUCCCUUUGUCAAUUGCAUCCAUCACACAUGAGGGGCCAUGUGAGCUAAAGACCCCUCUCUACCCCCCUCCUCCCCUUCCAUCCCUGCACCAGCUCCUUUUCGCCCAGCGCCUGCUUUAAAACCACCUGAACAAAUGGUGUUCAACAUGGCCCAUCUUGCAGGAUACAGACUGCUCCUUGUGCUAAAUAAACAAGAGACAGUGACUUUGGAAUACCUUUUGAUAAUAGCUGGAGAAUGCAAUUUUUGGAAGUUGCAUUCUCCCAGGACAAAGACACAAAGCAUAAAUCAGAAUCUUCAAGAAACACCCCAACCUAGUGACAUAAACAAUGGUGUAAGCUGCAUAUCAGUCGUAAAUUGGUGAGAAAACAGGUGCAAGUGAUGAUUUUGUGUAAUUUGCACUGAUCAGUCAUUCAGUUGGGAAGUAAAAUGCAUGCAGCUUUUCCUGGGAAGGAACAGAAAGGAGGAAAGUGGAGCAGGACAAACAAUUUCCUGGAGGAUGCAAAAGAGAGUAAGAGCACCAGGAUGUUCCCAUUCUCCCUUACACCAUCACUUAUUAAUUAUCACAAUAUCACUGCUGAAUAUGAUCCAAGGAUUUCCAUGGGAAUAGCUUCCAUUUACACUGGGUCUGAAUUUCUCAUUGCUUAAUGCGUUCAAGAAGGAAGAAUACAUUUUGAGACUUUUAAUUUAUGGGACAUUUAACCGUACUGCUUAGAUACAGGCAGCUCAGAGAGAUGAACAUUUAAAGUAUGGCCUGUUAGAUUUCUUGUAAUUCUUAGAAACCAAGCUGAUAGAUGCCUUAGAAAUACCUAAAAUAGAUAAAGUACUAUUUAUAUUUUGUAGAUUAAAGAAUUUGCAUUGAAAUGAAAGUAUUGGAAUGUGAUACAUGAUAGUGUUUAUAGUUGCUUAGGGUCAUCUAUAUAAAGGAGAUGUUACAUCUGGAGUGUGAAAUUAAAAAACAACCCUUUUACUAUAUUUAAUUUUUUCUUGUUGUGUAGUAAAAUGUACAACCGUCUAAGUAAUAAUUUUUAUAGUGAAAAUAUAUUAUGUAGACUAUGGUAAUCUUUGUAGUAAUAUCUGACAGACAGAUACUGUAUAAAGAAACUGAAAUGUAGUUCUCAGAACAGGCUGAAGUUAUAUUGAAUGGGAUGUUUAGCAGUUGCAUAUGCUCAGAGAUAAUUUUUUUUUUUUUUUUGGCUGUGGGGGUAUUGAAUUUGUAAGAGCAGAGUGGUAAACUUGAGCAAGACUUACAGUAUUAAGAGGCAAGAUUUGAGUUCUGUGCUUAGGACUUCCAUUUGCUUUGAAUUCCGGAGUCACAGCUAUUUGCAGUAAGAUCAUUCCUAAAGAUUCAGACUUUCCUUUUUAGUAUCUCAGAGCUAGAAUGAGGUUUAAAUAGUCACACUGGAGCUGAGGAAAGAGCUGAUUUUAACAAUGAAAAGCAAAACUCAAAUCUAGAGAGAGCCAAAUUUUCAUGAUCUCAUUUUAGAAAGUAAGGACUUAGGCCCCUGUUCUGGGAGUGGCUGAUAAGUGACCUCCACUCCUACAGUGUGAACUCUUCAGGGGUGGGACAACAUUCUACCCAGCCUGCUUACAAUUCAGAGCCUACCCUUCUUGGCCAAAUGCUCUUUGUUUUGCCCUCCUCCAUAUGCUCAGCAAACGAACACUCCCCACUCUCUCCAAACACCACCACCACCACCACUGCUUUUUGCUGUCUGGAGAAGCAGGAGCAGAGGCAUUAAGAAGGAACUGUGGUGGCAGGCAGGGAACACAGGCAGGGCUGUGUGCUUUCUGUGUCAAGCUGGUCUGAUACUCUGUGCCAGCAUUCUUGGAUUCUGCAGCACUUUGGUGGGGCAGCUUCAUUUACACUAGAAGAUGGAGGUUUUUGCUGAAUUAAAUAUAAACCCAAUAUAGCCCCCAUGCUAUUUUUUUAAACUAAGUUCAAUUUAUAUUAUGUUGUUCCCAGUAAGACACAGACCUUUUUAUUGACAACAUACAACUACAUUGUGGUCAGGAGGGAAGUUGGGAGUUUGACAGUUGGAUACGGGGGAGCUGGGCCUUUUGGCAUGAAGGAAGCUGGCACAGGCAGUUUAGGACUAUGAGAUAAUCACAUAAGCUGGCUAAUUCUAAAAAAAAUCAUCAGUAAAAUUAACAUUGUUGACUUUUAGAUCACCAUUAUUAGAUUUUAGAAUCAACACCCCAUUGAGAUGAAUAGUACACAUCACACCUCCUUGUUCUGUUAUUUUUUGCUUUCUGCAGUCUCAGGAGGACUUAGUUAAUAUUUUAAAGAUUUUAUUUACAAUCAUAUGGGCUAGAAAGACCAUUUAAAAUGAAUUCUGGGACUCUGGAGCAGAGCAAGAGCAAAUUCCAUGUCUACGCAAUUGCAGAAAAUCUGAGGCUUGACUAAACCAUGCUUCUGUGGCUGUGGGGCUUAAGAAGCUCUAGAGACCUCUGUUUCCUGCUCUGAGCGUACUUCCUCUGCUGAACCACAGGAGGCCAUGUGUUUUGGGGACUCUUGCUCUUGCCCCACCAGGAGUCCCCCAGUGGCAGUAGGUGGUAUUGCACCCUUCGUCAGAGCAGUUAUAGUAUUACAUAAUGCCAGGUCUGGGGAUUCAUACCUUUCCCAUCAGUGGAAAGCUGAAAUUUUGACCAAAAUGAACAAUUGAAACAUGACAUUUUUCAUACCGGUCAAAAAGCCAUUCUUCUAAAAAAAUGUGAUUAAAAGUUUCGACCAACUCUCCUCUAACCUCAUUAUGACAAAGACAAGGAGAAGUUUAGGAAGAUCCACAUCCCAAAGAAAACA